UACGACUACAUAUCAGGCAUAUCAAUAAGCGGAGGAAAAGAAACUAACAAGGAUUCCCUUAGUAACGGCGAGUGAAGCGGGAAGAGCUCAAAUUUGAAAUCUUCAAGGGUUCUACCUUUACGAAUUGUAGUUUAAAGAAGUGUUUUCUGUUAGAGGAGUUCGGUAAAAGUUCUUUGGAAUAGGACAUCAUAGAGGGUGAGAAUCCCGUAUUUGACCAGUUACUUUCUAGCUGUGUGAUACACUUUCAAAGAGUCGGAUUGUUUGGGAAUGCAGUCCAAGAUGGGUGGUAAAUUUCAUCUAAAGCUAAAUAUUGGCGAGAGACCGAUAGCGAACAAGUACCGUGAGGGAAAGAUGAAAAGAACUUUGAAAAGAGAGUUAAACAGUACGUGAAAUUGUCAAAAGGGAAGCGUUUGACACCAUGUGUUGUUUUUCCGAAAAUCAAUUAAGAAGGGCUUGAUUUUGUGUUGUAUUGACCUUAUCAGCUUUCUUCACUCUUUCUCGAGUCUUUCUUAAUGCACUUUUCGGUUAACAAGUCAACAUCAAUUUCUUUUGUUGUAAAAGGGUAUUUGGAAGGUGGCUUUCUUUUCGGAGAAAGUGUUUAUAGCCUUAUACCUCUACAAUCGGAGAGAUUGAGGUCUGCAGCGUAGAUCCUUCGGGGCUAGAUACACUUGUGCUAAGUUAUAGCUUUUCAUAGACAACUUGUUGACUAUGUUUAGUCAUGUAGCUUACCCGCUUGUGCUAUUUUACCUACGCUUAGGAUGUUGAUCUACAGAGCGAGAGU
rnacentral:rRNA from 1 species